rnacentral:rRNA from 1 species
AUUGAACGCUGGCGGAAUGCUUUACACAUGCAAGUCGAACGGUAGAGGGGGCAACCCCUCGAGAGUGGCGAACGGGUGAGUAAUAUAUCGGAACGUGCCCAGUCGUGGGGGAUAACGUGGCGAAAGUUACGCUAAUACCGCAUACGAUCUAAGGAUGAAAGCGGGGGAUCGCAAGACCUCGCGCGAUUGGAGCGGCCGAUAUCAGAUUAGGUAGUUGGUGGGGUAAAGGCUCACCAAGCCAACGAUCUGUAGCUGGUCUGAGAGGACGACCAGCCAAACUGGAACUGAGACACGGUCCAGACUCCUACGGGAGGCAGCAGUGGGGAAUUUUGGACAAUGGACGCAAGUCUGAUCCAGCCAUUCCGCGUGCAGGAUGAAGGCCCUCGGGUUGUAAACUGCUUUUGUACGGAACGAAAAGGUCUCUCUUAAUACGGGGGGCUCAUGACGGUAACGUAAGAAUAAGCACCGGCUAACUACGUGCCAGCCGCCGCGGUAA